GAUCAUUGGCUCAGGAUGAACGCUAGCGACAGGCUUAACACAUGCAAGUCGAGGGGCAGCACAGGGUAGCAAUACUUGGGUGGCGACCGGCGCACGGGUGAGUAACGCGUAUGCAACUUACCUAUCAGAGGGGGAUAGCCCGGCGAAAGUCGGAUUAAUACCCCAUGAAACAGGGGUCCCGCAUGGGAAUAUUUGUUAAAGAUUCAUCGCUGAUAGAUAGGCAUGCGUUCCAUUAGG
rnacentral:rRNA from 1 species